GUAUCUUUUCUCUGGUAUUUCUGGGGAAGAUUUGGGGCGUCUCUUUUGAGUGCCCUUAAAGCUAUAGCUUGACACUGCACGAGUGCGAGAGCGUAUGUAUUUGAAACUCUUGGAGUACCUGUACGAAACUCUGGCGCGAGCUCGGGCUGGGCCAAGUUCACCACGGAGGUUUGAAAAAGAACCCGAACC
rnacentral:misc_RNA from 1 species